rnacentral:lncRNA from 1 species
CCCUUUCGAAAGCGAAGCCUUCCUCCCAUUGAGGUGUUCUCUCCCUGCGACUUACCUUUUUCAAAGAUUUAGCCCUCUUAACUGAGCUUCCGUUAGAACUCCUUCGAGAAUGAGCCCUAAAAAAAGCAUGGUCUUGACUUCUUUUCCUUCUGAGUGUCCUCCUUAGGCACUCUAGGUCAUCCUGAGCAUAGUGCCAGUCUCUUUCGGCCCU